rnacentral:tRNA from 2 species
GUAGACAUAGUUUAAGAAAGACAAUGGGUUGUGAUUCCAGAGAUAGGGGUUAAAGUCCCCUUGUCCACC